rnacentral:tRNA from 2 species
GCUCUUGUGGCUCAGUGGUUUAGAGUACGCCUUUCGUAAGGGUGGGGUCCCAGGUUCAAAUCCUGGCUGGAGCA